AUUGAACGCUGGCGGCAGGCCUAACACAUGCAAGUCGAACGAGUGGCGGACGGGUGAGUAAUGUCUGGGAAACUGCCCGAUGGAGGGGGAUAACUACUGGAAACGGUAGCUAAUACCGCAUACCAUCGGAUGUGCCCAGAUGGGAUUAGCUAGCAGGUGGGGUAACGGCUCACCUAGGCGACGAUCCCGAGCGGGUCUCAGAGGAUGACCAGCCACACGGGAACGGGGAGACGGCCCAGACUCCUACGGGAGGCAGCAGUGGGGAAUAUUGCACAAUGGGCGCAAGCCUGAUGCAGCCAUGCCGGGUGUAUGAAGAAGGCCUUAGGGUUGUAAAGUACUUUCAGCGGGGAGGCGUUACCCGCAGAGGAAGCACCGGCUAACUCCGUGCCAGCAGCCGCGGUAAUAC
rnacentral:rRNA from 1 species